UUUGCGGGAACGACGAACGGCUCAGUAAUAUUGCGAUGAUUUGCUCUGUUGGGAGAAGAUAACCAUGGUAACCUAUGGCUAAGAGACAGAAUAAGACGCAAUCCUAUCAGUUUGUUGGUUGUGUAAUGGACAACCAAGACUAUGACGGGUGACGGGAAAUCAGGGUUUUAUUCCGGAGAGGGAGCCUGAGAGAUUGCUCCUACGUCCAAGGACGGCAGCAGGCGCGAAAAUUGCCCACUCUUCUUUUGGAGGAGGCAGUUAUGAGACGUGAAUAAAGGAAGUACAGUAAAUAAGUGCUUGUAAAGCAAUUGGAGGGCAAGUUUGGUGCCAGCAGCCGCGGUAAUACCGACUCCAAGAGUGUCUAUUGUGGAUGCUGCAGUUAAAAAGUCCGUAGUUUUUUUGUGCAAUUAAAAGGUAUUGAUCAAAGAUACCAAGUUUGCAACAAUAUUUUUCGGAACGGAUAGGGAACAUAGUAUAGAUGGGCGAGAGAUGAAAUGACCAAGACCCCAUCUGGACUAACAGAGGCGAAAGCGAUGUUCUUAGACGAAUCUGUGGAUCAAGGACGAAGGCCGGAGGAUCGAAAGUGAUUAGAUACCGCUGUAGUUCCGGCAGUAAACUAUGCCGACAUCUUUUCCAUGUAUUAUUAGUGGGAGAGAGGGAGAAAUCUUAGUGUUCGGGCUCUGGGGAUAGUAUGCUCGCAAGAGUGAAACUUAAAACGAAAUUGACGGAAUAACACCACCAGGAGUGGAUUGUGCGGCUUAA
rnacentral:rRNA from 1 species